UAGAGAUCUCUCUCAUCUCUCUAAAUCUCUCUCUAAAAAUUGGAGGGUUGGUGGAGAAGAUGCUUGCGAACGCGUUGGAGGCGACGGAUCGAGCUUUUGUGCGCCCGUUGGAGCGGCGUAUUUUCGUCGUGGCGUUCAUAUUGAGGUAAACGAAUGCGUUGGCGAAGACGGUUCGGCGAUUCGUCAAGCCGGUGCAAAGUUAUUAAAGAAACGGACGUUUAGGCUUGCGUUUUCGCCUGGAGGGCCGAGGCGACGUCGUAAAAUCCUGGAAACGGAUUUGAAGCACCGUAACAGCAAAACGAAGACCCUUUUUGCCCGAGGUUGCGAAGCGAUGCGCGGUUGGUGCGCAAUUGCAUGUUCCGGCGGAACCGAGCACCGGAUGUCGCGGGAGGCCGAUUGCAAGUGUCGACAAGCAAUCGGAAUGCGAAAUGAGGUUCGCACGUGAGCGGCGCGGCGGCGCAAGGCGAGGGCGUAGCUCCAUAGAUAGCGCCCUAC